AUGCCGCGUGUAUGAAGAAGGCCUUCGGGUUGUAAAGUACUUUCAGCAGUGAGGAAGGUGGUAGUGUUAAUAGCACUAUCAUUUGACGUUAGCUGCAGAAGAAGCACCGGCUAACUCCGUGCCARCAGCCGCGGUAGUACUGAGGGUGCGAGCGUUAAUCAGAAUUACUGGGCGUAAAGCGCAUGCGCGUGGUUUGUUAAGUCAGAUGUGAAAGCCCGGGGCUCAACCUCGGANAUUGCAUUUGAAACUGGCAGACUAGAGUACUGUAGAGGNGGGGUAGAAUUUCAGGUGUAGCNGGUGAAAYGCGUAGAGAUSUGAAGGAAUACCGGUGGCGAAGGCGGCCCCCUGNGACAGAUACUGACACUCAKAUGCGAAAGCGUGGGGAGCAAACAGGAUUAGAUACCCUSGUAGUCCACGCCGUAAACGAUGUCUACUUGGAGGUUGUGGCCYYGAGCCGUGGCUUUCGGAGCUAACGCGUUAAGUAGACCGCCUGGGGAGUACGGUCGCAAGAUUAAAACUCAAAUGAAUUGACGGGG
rnacentral:rRNA from 1 species